rnacentral:rRNA from 1 species
CCUGCUUCCAGGAAAAGCCUCUAAGCAUCAGGUAACAUCAAAUCGUACCCCAAACCGACACAGGUGGUCAGGUAGAGAAUACCAAGGCGCUUGAGAGAACUCGGGUGAAGGAACUAGGCAAAAUGGUGCCGUAACUUCGGGAGAAGGCACGCUGAUAUGUAGGUGAAGUCCCUCGCGGAUGGAGCUGAAAUCAGUCGAAGAUACCAGCUGGCUGCAACUGUUUAUUAAAAACACAGCACUGUGCAAACACGAAAGUGGACGUAUACGGUGUGACGCCUGCCCGGUGCCGGAAGGUUAAUUGAUGGGGUCAGCGCAAGCGAAGCUCUUGAUCGAAGCCCCGGUAAACGGCGGCCGUAACUAUAACGGUCCUAAGGUAGCGAAAUUCCUUGUCGGGUAAGUUCCGACCUGCACGAAUGGCGUAAUGAUGGCCAGGCUGUCUCCACCCGAGACUCAGUGAAAUUGAACUCGCUGUGAAGAUGCAGUGUACCCGCGGCAAGACGGAAAGACCCCGUGAACCUUUACUAUAGCUUGACACUGAACAUUGAGCCUUGAUGUGUAGGAUAGGUGGGAGGCUUUGAAGUGUGGACGCCAGUCUGCAUGGAGCCGACCUUGAAAUACCACCCUUUAAUGUUUGAUGUUCUAACGUGGACCCGUGAUCCGGGUUGCGGACAGUGUCUGGUGGGUAGUUUGACUGGGGCGGUCUCCUCCUAAAGAGUAACGGAGGAGCACGAAGGUUGGCUAAUCCUGGUCGGACAUCAGGAGGUUAGUGCAAUGGCAUAAGCCAGCUUGACUGCGAGCGUGACGGCGCGAGCAGGUGCGAAAGCAGGUCAUAGUGAUCCGGUGGUUCUGAAUGGAAGGGCCAUCGCUCAACGGAUAAAAGGUACUCCGGGGAUAACAGGCUGAUACCGCCCAAGAGUUCAUAUCGACGGCGGUGUUUGGCACCUCGAUGUCGGCUCAUCACAUCCUGGGGCUGAAGUAGGUCCCAAGGGUAUGGCUGUUCGCCAUUUAAAGUGGUACGCGAGCUGGGUUUAGAACGUCGUGAGACAGUUCGGUCCCUAUCUGCCGUGGGCGCUGGAGAACUGAGGGGGGCUGCUCCUAGUACGAGAGGACCGGAGUGGACGCAUCACUGGUGUUCGGGUUGUCAUGCCAAUGGCACUGCCCGGUAGCUAAAUGCGGAAGAGAUAAGUGCUGAAAGCAUCUAAGCACGAAACUUGCCCCGAGAUGAGUUCUCCCUGACCCUUUAAGGGUCCUGAAGGAACGUUGAAGACGACGACGUUGAUAGGCCGGGUGUGUAAGCGCAGCGAUGCGUUGAGCUAACCGGUACUAAUGAACCGUGAGGCUUAACCUU